rnacentral:rRNA from 1 species
UUCGUCACACUAUCAUUAACUGAAUCCAUAGGUUAAUGAGGCGAACCGGGGGAACUGAAACAUCUAAGUACCCCGAGGAAAAGAAAUCAACCGAGAUUCCCCCAGUAGCGGCGAGCGGACGGGGAGCAGCCCAGAGCCUGAAUCAGUGUGUGUGUUAGUGGAAGCGUCUGGAAAGGCGUGCGAUACAGGGUGACAGCCCCGUACACAAAAAUGCACAUAUUGUGAGCUUGAUGAGUAGGGCGGGACACGUGGUAUCCUGUCUGAAUAUGGGGGGACCAUCCUCCAAGGCUAAAUACUCCUGACUGACCGAUAGUGAACCAGUACCGUGAGGGAAAGGCGAAAAGAACCCCGGCGAGGGGAGUGAAAAAGAACCUGAAACCGUGUACGUACAAGCAGUGGGAGCACGCUUAGGCGUGUGACUGCGUACCUUUUGUAUAAUGGGUCAGCGACUUAUAUUCUGUAGCAAGGUUAACCGAAUAGGGGAGCCGAAGGGAAACCGAGUCUUAACUGGGCGUUAAGUUGCAGGGUAUAGACCCGAAACCCGGUGAUCUAGCCAUGGGCAGGUUGAAGGUUGGGUAACACUAACUGGAGGACCGAACCGACUAAUGUUGAAAAAUUAGCGGAUGACUUGUGGCUGGGGGUGAAAGGCCAAUCAAACCGGGAGAUAGCUGGUUCUCCCCGAAAGCUAUUUAGGUAGCGCCUCGUGAAUUCAUCUCCGGGGGUAGAGCACUGUUUCGGCAAGGGGGUCAUCCCGACUUA